UAAUACAUCGGAACGUACCCAGUUGUGGGGGAUAGCUCGGCGAAAGCCGGAUUAAUACCGCAUGCGACCUAUGGGUGAAAGCGGGGGAUCGCAAGACCUCGCGCAGUUGGAGCGGCCGAUGUCAGAUUAGCUAGUUGGUAGGGUAAAAGCCUACCAAGGCGACGAUCUGUAGCUGGUCUGAGAGGACGACCAGCCACACUGGGACUGAGACACGGCCCAG
rnacentral:rRNA from 1 species